rnacentral:rRNA from 1 species
AAGACCUUGCGCUUUUGGAGCGGCCGAUGCCUGAUUAGCUUGUUGGUAAGGUAAAAGCUUACCAAGGCUUCGAUCAGUAGCUGGUCUGAGAGGACGACCAGCCACACUGGGACUGAGACACGGCCCAGACUCCUACGGGAGGCAGCAGUGGGGAAUUUUGGACAAUGGGGGCAACCCUGAUCCAGCCAUGCCGCGUGAGUGAAGAAGGCCUUCGGGUUGUAAAGCUCUUUCAGCCGGAACGAAACGGUUACGGWUAAUACCCGUGACUACUGACGGUACCGGAAGAAGAAGCACCGGCUAACUACGUGCCAGCAGCCGCGGUAAUACGUAGGGUGCAAGCGUUAAUCGGAAUUACUGGGCGUAAAGCGUGCGCAGGUGGUUUUGUAAGUCAGAUGUGAAAUCCCCGGGCUUAACCUGGGAACU